rnacentral:tRNA from 1 species
UCCCUGACGGUCCAGUGGUUAAGACUCUGUGCUUCCGCUGCAGGGGGUCUGGGUUCAAUUCCUAGUCAGGAAG